UAGUUUGGACAAUCAGGCCUGACGCAUCUAAAAGAGACAAAUAUAAAUAAAAAAUGUUUUUAUUUGUUCUUUUUUUAUUUCGUCCUGAAGUUCUGUUUCAUUCUUUACUACUCCAAUUUCUUGUUUGAGCUUCCGAUGUUUUUUUUUCUUGAAUCGGCGCUUUUAAUCUUCAAUUCAUAAAAAGUCUGAAGCGAAAGUGGUAUUUUUUCGCUUUUGAUCGCGCUUUGCAUUUAUGCCUCGUUGCUUAAAUUCCGGUAAAAAAUCCGGUCUUCUUUAUUUUAUGUUUCCGGUUGCUUAGACAAGUCACAGUUUGAUAAUUUAUGCGUUGACUGAUUCACUUAGUCUUGUCUUACACCAACCGUCAAAUACGUUACAUCUCUUCAAUAUUUUUAAUUGAAUCAUUGAGUUGUUGUAUUUAUAGUUUUGCAAAUUAUAUAGAGACAGGAACUUUCAUUUUCUCUUCGUAUUCUUGCUACAGUUUGCUAAAAUUAGGUUAACAAUGUUCAUUUCUUUGAAUCGCAUUUUUUUGGUUAAAUUUUAUAUGUUCUUUAAUUUUUAUUUUCGCAUCAAAAUAUGUUCACUAAUUUGAAGUUAAUGAUUGCGAUUAACUCCAAUAAAAAGUCAACAGUUGAUUUCAACAAUUUUACUUCUUAGAUACAUUGUCUGGAAAUGCCAGUUUCAUCGUCAAAGACACUAAUGAAAUAAAAUUGCUCAAAUAAAAUUGUUCCAAAACAGGAAACUGAUGCCUGUAGGCGCCUGUUGAGAAGUUUUCUUUCAUCCAUAUUCACAUCCUAAUUAAAAGUUAUCCAAAGAAGAGCACUGAGAAAAAUUUUGCCUAGAAGCAAAUUGACAAUCAGUCUUUUAUUUUGUCAAUUAAGGCCUAAAAUAUUUUGUUAUUUAUUUAUUGGUUAUCUAACCAUAAACCAAUUCUGUGGCAUUAUCAUUCGUGCUGAGCUCUUUCUGAUUUACUUCAGUCAAAAAAACCUGAGCUCGAAUUGCUACCUACCAUGAAGUUAAAGGAAGAUUUAACGAUAUCAGAUGGCAACCGAAGAUGUUUAUCACGAAAGCAGAAAUAAAAAGCACAAAGGCCUUGAAAACCAGAUCAAACCAGCUGAUGCUUCAAAACAUACCCUGAAGCUGCAGUAACCAGAGUCCUAGAUGGUCAUGUACCCCUCAUUCCACUCUGGCCCCACCAAUUGGACCGACUCAGCAGGAGUGGGGGUAGGAGGG